UCCCUGUUGGUCUAGUGCUUGGGACUCAGUACUUUCACAGCUGUGGCCCAGGUUCAAUCCCUGGUCUGAGAA
rnacentral:tRNA from 1 species